rnacentral:rRNA from 1 species
CCUGGCUCAGGACGAACGCUGGCGGCGCGCCUAACACAUGCAAGUCGAACGAGAGAGAGGGAGCUUGCUUCCUCAAUCGAGUGGGGAACGGGUGAGUAACGCGUGAGGAACCUGCCUCAAAGAGGGGGACAACAGUUGGAAACGACUGCUGAUACCGCAUAAGCCCACAGGUCGGCAUCGACCAGAGGGAAAAGGAGCAAUCCGCUUUGAGAUGGCCUCGCGUCCGAUUAGCUAGUUGGUGAGGUAACGGCCCACCAAGGCAACGAUCGGUAGCCGGACUGAGAGGUUGAACGGCCACAUUGGGACUGAGACACGGCCCAGACUCCUACGGGAGGCAGCAGUGGGGAAUAUUGCACAAUGGGGGAAACCCUGAUGCAGCGACGCCGCGUGGAGGAAGAAGGUCUUCGGAUUGUAAACUCCUGUUGUUGAGGAAGAUAAUGACGGUACUCAACAAGGAAGUGACGGCUAACUACGUGCCAGCAGCCGCGGUAAAACGUAGGUCACAAGCGUUGUCCGGAAUUACUGGGUGUAAAGGGAGCGCAGGCGGGAAGACAAGUUGGAAGUGAAAUCUAUGGGCUCAACCCAUAAACUGCUUUCAAAACUGUUUUUCUUGAGUAGUGCAGAGGUAGGCGGAAUUCCCGGUGUAGCGGUGGAAUGCGUAGAUAUCGGGAGGAACACCAGUGGCGAAGGCGGCCUACUGGGCACCAACUGACGCUGAGGCUCGAAAGUGUGGGUAGCAAACAGGAUUAGAUACCCUGGUAGUCCACACCGUAAACGAUGAUUACUAGGUGUUGGAGGAUUGACCCCUUCAGUGCCGCAGUUAACACAAUAAGUAAUCCACCUGGGGAGUACGACCGCAAGGUUGAAACUCAAAGGAAUUGACGGGGGCCCGCACAAGCAGUGGAGUAUGUGGUUUAAUUCGACGCAACGCGAAGAACUUUACCAAGUCUUGACAUCCUGCGACGUACAUAAAAAUAUGUGUUCCUUUCGGGACGCAGGAGACAGGUGGUGCAUGGUUGUCGUCAGCUCGUGUCGUGAGAUGUUGGGUUAAGUCCCGCAACGAGCGCAACCCUUACUGUCAGUUACUACGCAAGAGGACUCUGGCAGGACUGCCGUUGACAAAACGGAGGAAGGUGGGGAUGACGUCAAAUCAUCAUGCCCUUUAUGACUUGGGCUACACACGUACUACAAUGGCGUUAAACAAAGAGAAGCAAGACCGCGAGGUGGAGCAAAACUCAGAAACAACGUCCCAGUUCGGACUGCAGGCUGCAACUCGCCUGCACGAAGUCGGAAUUGCUAGUAAUCGUGGAUCAGCAUGCCACGGUGAAUACGUUCCCGGGC